rnacentral:rRNA from 1 species
CCUACGGGGAGCUGCAGUGAGGAAUAUUGGUCAAUGGCCGGAAGGCUGAACCAGCCAUGCCGCGUGAAGGUCAGUGCCCUAUGGGCGUUAAACUUCUUUUGUGCGGGAGCAAUAAUGGUCACGUGUGGCCAGACGAGAGUACCGUACGAAUAAGCAUCGGCUAACUCCGUCCCAGCAGCCGCGGGAAUACGGGAAUGCAAGCGUUAUCCGGAUUUAUUGGGUGUAAAGGGUGCGUAGGCUGUGAGGUAAGUCAGCGGUGAAAUGCCCCCGCUCAACGGGGUGAAGUGCCAUUGAUACUGCCGUGCUUGAAGGCGGAUGACGUGGGAGGAAUGUGUGGUGUAGCGGUGAAAUGCAGAGAUAUCACACAGAACACCGAUUGCGAAGGCAUCUCACGAAUCCGCUAUUGACGCUGAUGCACGAAAGCGUGGGUAUCAAACAGGAUUAGAUACCCCAGUAGUC